rnacentral:rRNA from 1 species
AACGAACGCUGGCGGCAUGCCUAACACAUGCAAGUCGAACGAGACCUUCGGGUCUAGUGGCGCACGGGUGCGUAACGCGUGGGAACCUGCCCUUAGGUUCGGAAUAACUCCCCGAAAGGGGUGCUAAUACCGGAUAAUGUCUUCGGACCAAAGAUUUAUCGCCUUUGGAUGGGCCCGCGUUGGAUUAGCUAGUUGGUAGGGUAAAAGCCUACCAAGGCGACGAUCCAUAGCUGGUCUGAGAGGAUGAUCAGCCACACUGGGACUGAGACACGGCCCAGACUCCUACGGGAGGCAGCAGUGGGGAAUAUUGGACAAUGGGCGAAAGCCUGAUCCAGCAAUGCCGCGUGAGUGAUGAAGGCCUUAGGGUUGUAAAGCUCUUUUACCCGGGAUGAUAAGGACAGGACCGGGAGAAUAAGCUCCGGCUAACUCCGG